AAUCAACGCUGGCGGCGUGCCUCAGACAUGCAAGUCGAACGCGAAAGUUUCCUUCGGGGGAUGAGUAGAGUGGCGCACGGGUGAGUAACACGUAGGUAAUCUACCUUUGGAUGGGGAAUAACAAUCGGAAACGGUUGCUAAUACCGCAUAAUGCAGCGGCACCUAAUGGUGACAGUUGUUAAAGCGGGGGAUCGAAAGACCUCGCGUCUGAAGAGGAGCCUGCGGCGGAUUAGCUAGUUGGUAAGGUAACGGCUUACCAAGGCGACGAUCCGUAGCCGGCCUGAGAGGGCGGUCGGCCACACUGACACUGACAUACGGGUCAGACUCCUACGGGAGGCAGCAGUCGGGAAUUUUGGGCAAUGGGCGAAAGCCUGACCCAGCAACGCCGCGUGAAGGAUGAAAUCCCUCGGG
rnacentral:rRNA from 1 species